GAGUUUGAUCCUGGCUCGGGAUGAACGCUAGCUACAGGCUUAACACAUGCAAGUCGAACGAAGCACUUUGGACAGAUUCUUCGGAUGAAGUCCUCAGUGACUGAGUGGCGGACGGGUGAGUAACGCGUGGGUAACCUGCCUCAUACAGGGGGAUAACAGUUAGAAAUGGCUGCUAAUACCGCAUAAGCGCACGGUACUGCAUGGUACAGUGUGAAAAACUCCGGUGGUAUGAGAUGGACCCCGCGU
rnacentral:rRNA from 1 species